rnacentral:lncRNA from 1 species
UUCGAAUGCUGGAUCGGCUGGCUGGGGAGCCCAGGCCAGUCCCAGGUGUGUCCUUGCACUGUCCCCACAACCCCGCCCUGUCCUGGGUCACUUUCUCCCUACUUCCAGCUGCCUGUUUCACUACAGAAAAGUUCAGGCCUCGAGACACAAAUAUGUUAGAAAUGGUUGCCCAUCGUGGGUGCUCUCAAAUUUCCUUUUCAUAGAUUUUAUAGAUCUCUGAAAUUUCCCACAAUAAACCUACGUUGCCUUUAAAAGUCAGAGAAAGCAAUACAAAUAUUUUAAAUAGACUAGAGAUUAAAUCAUUUCCUCCCCUACAAAGACUCAUGCUCUGGGGCACAGCCUUCCGGACCUGGAAGAUAAGCCCGGGGGCGCAGGGGCACGCAGUCCAGCUGCAUCUAAGUUUUGCAAAUACAAAAAGUAACCCAGGGAGAAUUCGGGAGAACAGGUCGGGAGAAUUAAGAUACGACACACAUGAAGUAAAACGCACCCUUGUGGAGCACAGCUCCGUGCGCUCUGACGAGGAGUCACCAUGGGACGCCCCCACGGUCAUGAGAACCUUCCAUCGCCCAGCGCUGCCCUCCCACUGCUCCGUAGUCAGCUCCUCCUUCCCCUUCCCGCCACGCUAAACCACUACCGGCCUGCUUUCUGUCACCUUGCGAGUUCUAGAAGUUUAUAUAAAUGGAAUCGCACAGCGCUCUUCUCCUGUGUCUGGCUCCUCCUACUUGAUAGAACGUUUCUGAGACUCACCCACAUCGUGCCUGCCAGUCCUUGAUCCUUUUAGCGCUGAGCAUCUUCCAUCGUACGGAAAUACCACAAUUUCCAUAACCCAUUCAGCAGCCAAUAGACAGGGCUGUUUCCAACUUCAUUCUAUUAUGAAUAAAGCCAGUGUGAGCACCAGCGUAAAGGUUUUACGUUGACACGUCAUUUUAAUUUAUCUUGGCAUCUUCACCACAGUGCAGCCAGCACCACAGCGGACUGAAGAGACACCACAAGACACCACCAGAGAGAAGCCCCACGCCCUUUAGCCAUCGCCUCCCUCACCCCGCCGCCCCGCCGGAGCCCCCAGCUCCCCCUGAUCUACCCUCGGUCUCCGCAGAGGUCCCCACGGACGACAGGCUUCCUAUCCCAGUGGACGUCGAGGGGAGCCGAGCCCCGCUGGACGUCUCCCCCAGGGACGCCUAACUAGUGCCAUCAACCCAACCUCAGAGUCACUCUAAGAGCUGCUUAAAUAUGGGCACUUUGUCAACAAAUGUUGGAGAGGGCGUGGAGAAAAGGGAACCCUCAGACACUGCUGGUGGGAAUGCAAACUGGUGCAGCCACUAUGGAAAACAGUAUGGACAUUCCUCAAAAAAUUAAAAACCGAAAUACCAUACGACGCAGCUAUCCCACUACUGGGUAUUUAUCCAAAGAGCUUGAAAUCAGUAAUACAAAGAGACUCAUGCAUCCCCAUGUUCACUGCAGCAUUAUUCACAACAGCCAAGACGUGGAAGCAACCCAAGUGCCCAUCCACUGAGGAGAUGUGGUAUAUACAUACAAUGGAAUACCACUUAGCCAUAAAAAGAGACAAAAUCGUCUCAUUUGCAACAACAUGGAUGGACCUUGAGGGUGUUAUGUUAAGCGAAAUAAGCUAGACAGAGAAAGAGAAACACCGUAUGAUUUCACUCAUCUGUGGAAGAUAAACACACAUGUGGACAAAGAGAACAGAUUAGUGGUUACCAGAGGGGAAGGGGGUUGGGGGGUGGGCACAGGGGUAAAGGGGCACAUUUAUAUGGUGACUGACAAAUAAUAAAGUACAACUGAAAUUUCACAAUGUUAUAAACUAUUAUGGCCUCAAUUUAUAAAAAAGAAAGAAACGGGUGGUUUGAGCUUACUCCAGCCCGGCCCCCGAGGACGGACUGAUCAUCACUGAAGAACUUCGCAGCAAGACCACAGACAGCUGCCACUGGAGCUAAAACAGGACCAACUAUGCCCAAGGGGUUACCUGCCCAGAGAAAGGUCAGUGUUAGUCAAGCGGAGCGGCCGCCUGGGGAGCGGGGAGUCUGAAGCUGGCGCGAGGCUCCGACGGGUCCGGCAGAGAACUCCUGCCUGCUGGGCACGGGACCGCUCAGCAUCAGGGCGUUCGGGCCCAGCACGAGGGGAUUUCCCAAGUAAAGGACUCUCGCCCCUUAGAUGUCAGUUCUUCUUCACUUUUUCUUCUUUACUUUUACUGCUGUUAAAGAAAACCUAUUACCCAACUUAAUAAACCUGUCUUGUUAUAGAUACAAGUCACAAUUUUGUGGGUAGUGACCAUGAUUCUGAACAUCAAGGGCACUGUGGUUAAGUCACGGACCUGAGUUAGGGCGCCUGUGAGGUCCAACAUGGUGGCUAAGACCCUCCCUUGUAAGGGGAGGAGGCUUCCCAGAUAAUCUCCGAAACCCUCCCAGGAUUAAGACUCCCCUGAAAAAAACAGCCCGCCCCAUACUUCAACUGGGCAGGCGUGGAAACACUCCUGGCUGCCCUCCUUUUCCAGACUUCUCCUCCUGCAGCAGAGUCUGGGAUGGGAGGGGCCAGGCGACACACCCUGGGCUCAGAGCCCCGUUCAUUCUUAAAAAUCCAGUAAGAGGAGCAAACAGCCAAAGUAAGCAGAAGAAAGGACGCAAAAAACAGGAGAGGAAGCCCUGGAAGUGUGAGACCCGAUCCAGCAGGUGCACCACCGACUCGCAGAGGAGACACUUCUGGUCUCAGCUCCCACAUGUAAAGGGCUAGGAGGCUGUCACCCCAUCCUCAGAACAAGAAAACUCCACAAACAGAAACAACGACUUUUCUCAGACCCAUCAGAGAACCGAGGUCGCAGGGCAAACUGCCACCCCAAAACCUGGAAAUCAAGGAAUUUAGAAAGUUGCGGUCCAGUCUGCUCACCAGGAGCAGAAGCCGCUGAGCCGAAACCGGCAGGCACACUGAUGGGAACCGUGAGGAAGUGCUGCAGGCUGAGUGUGCAAUCAUGAGAGAGAAACUCCUGGGGCCACGGUCUGGGGGGCCCACACUCUCAAGGGCUUUCCCUCCAGGAACCCCACCAGGUGCUCUGAGAAGACCCCCUAGCGUCCCUGGCAGACGGAGGGGGAAAGAAAUGCUGGUGAAACACACCAGGGCCUUCUCCGUCCUUGCCUUCCCUUCCAAGUGACCCGGCGAGGGCCCUGCCGUCCCCAUGCUCUGGGUGCUGCCGGCCGCCUCCUCCACCUGCCACUCCACAGGCCCCAUCCAGCGGGUUUCCCAUGGGUGGCAGCCAGGGCCAGGGGCUCCAUCACACAGGCCCUGCCCCCUCGGCCAGCCCUUGGGGCUGCCGUGUUCUUCAUCAGGAUCCCAGAAGGUCUGAUCGUCCCCUGUGUGGGGGUCAGCAGCUGCCAUUCCCUACACUCAUGAGUUCCCAGGGAGUUGCAGAAUGGUGAUAUUCUGCUCCUGACAUUCCGUUUUAUUAGUCGGAACACUUUAAUAAAAAAGACUCUCUCGUGUGCGAUUCGGCUCCCCUGUGGCACAGCGCCCAUGGAAAAGGCAGGGAAGAUGCUGAAUCCUUCCUCUUCACUGGCCUGUCUUCCAGGUAAGGAACUGACUCCUGUUCUCCUCCACAGGCGGCCAGCUGGGGUUCCCGACAGCGAACUCAUAGAUUAAAACCUACUUAUGAGUUUCGAUCCAUCGCGAUAAGUGUCUUUAUCCCAGCGCAGGUUCUGCCACCUCUGCCAUACGUGGAGCUCCGCAAGUUCGACUCACUAACUCCUUUCAGGAGUGGCCGGCAGGACAGCAUCCGCAGCCCGUCUCUCCAGGGAAGGAGGAUGGUGCUGUGAGCUCCCUCGAGGCAGAGGACCAAGACGAAGGCUGCGGGUUGGAGCAGCGAGGCGGGCUCCUGUGCGGGAGAGCCGAUGCAGAACCAGAGCGGCGUGGCACGCGGUAAACUUGCUCCCCGGGUCGAGGCCUCAGGACGACGUUAUUCCAUCCAUUCGAGACCUUUGAUGAAGCCCCGACACCAGCAGUAAGAAAACUAGAGGUACUGGCAGGGUCGAAGAGUGUAACACAUUUACUAAAUUUGUACCAUUUUUACCAAGACACGACAUGACUCCUGGGUCUGGGGAAGGCCAUUCUCUCUCUGCCGUCGGCCUGUCCUCAGAGCCCAGGGUCUCUCGACCCCCUAGGGACGGGCCGCCCGAGAAGCAGCUCUGUCCUCUCAUCUGCACCUCCAGCCGAGGGACGGAGUCUUUGCUUGGACGUUUCUCGAGAAGUGACCGCCUCCUCCACCUAGUUUCUCAGCUCUGGGUUCUUCGAGAGAAUGUUCACUAAGCACCUCCCCUUUUUCAGUCACAGACUUUCCCCUCUUGGUUCCCGCUCUUCCACAGCUCUAAAGGCUCGGGACGGGAGUCUUCAGACGACACUUGGAGUGACUUCCUCUGCAGCCCGCAUCUCAAGAUGGGCUGUGGGUGUCCUGGGAAGACCAAGCAGACUCACAACAGAGAGGCCUCUGCUUUCUCUAGGUGUUAAGUGCGAAGCGCAGCUUUGUUCUUUCCCAGCAGUUCAGCAAAGAUACCAGGGAAGAUUCACAGAGCAGGACCCCCUGUAAGACUCACUCUCUCUCGGCUUCGCCUCUACAGGCUGAGGCUCUGGGGGGCAGCGCUGCUUCUCCAGGAGGCCCAGGGUACCAGGCGGCUGCGAGAGCAGGGCCCGCGCCCGGAGGAGCUCCUCAUCUGCCACAGACGCACGGGCAGCAGCCCUGCGGCCCUGAAGACCUCAGACUGUGCCAGCAUGCUCUGCUCCAGACUCGCACACAGGAGCAGCUUCUCAGCCAGAGUCUGAAUGGCGUUCCCGUCCCUUUGUAUCCUCGACAACAGAGACUGCAGAUAAUAACAGCGGCUUGGGAUCCAACAGGGCCUGCCGGCUGCUGCCUCCUCCCCCUCUGCCCAGACCACCUGCUUCCCAGCCAGCCUUCCGCGGUAGAACUCAUCUCCUGGGAUGUCUUCCCCUGAUGCGCAGCCCGACUGCACACACGGAAG